CUGGAGAUGGCGACCGGCGCACGGUGAGUAACACGUAUCCAACCUGCCGAUAACUCGGGGAUAGCCUUUCGAAAGAAAGAUUAAUACCCGAUGGCAUAAUAGAACCGCAUGGUUUGAUUAUUAAAGAAUUUCGGUUAUCGAUGGGAUGCGUUCCAUUAGGCAGUUGGUGGGGUAACGGCCCACCAAACCUUCGAUGGAUAGGGGUUCUGAGAGGAAGGUCCCCCCACAUUGGAACUGAGACACGGUCCAAACUCCUACGGGAGGCAGCAUG
rnacentral:rRNA from 1 species